rnacentral:lncRNA from 1 species
GUAGUUUCUACGAGACUUUUCUGUGCCUCCUUUGCCCAUGCCAGGCCUCUUGCUAGGAAUAUCCUUCAGACAUCAGAUCAUUCUGUUUAUCUUUCGUGAUUCUACUCCCCUGUGAUCUCCUAGGAAGCUUCACUUGACAGGGUCACUGUCAUUCGGGGACGUGGCUGUGGGCUUCACCCGGAAAGAGUGGCAGCAGCUGGACCUGGAGCAGAGGACCCUGUACCAGGAUGUGAUGCUGGAGAACUACAGCCACCUGCUCUCUGUGGGCUGAACUGUCUGCUUGCUUGGAAGGCCCAGCUGGCUCAGCACAAAUCCUUUAACCGUUUCUCCCCAAGAGGGUGUCAAGUCAGCAAACCAGCUGUGAUCUCCAGUUUGGAGCAGGGGAAGGAGCCAUGGAUGGAGGAGGAAGAGAUAAGGACGUGGAGCUUCCCAGGUGAGCAGGUGGCCUGCAGGGGGCCGGGGGAUG